GCCUACGGGGGGCAGCAGUGGGGAAUAUUGCACAAUGGGGGAAACCCUGAUGCAGCAACGCCGCGUGAGUGAUGACGGCCUUCGGGUUGUAAAGCUCUGUCUUCAGGGACGAUAAUGACGGUACCUGAGGAGGAAGCCACGGCUAACUACGUGCCAGCAGCCGCGGUAAUACGUAGGUGGCGAGCGUUGUCCGGAUUUACUGGGCGUAAAGGGAGCGUAGGCGGAUUUUUA
rnacentral:rRNA from 1 species